rnacentral:rRNA from 1 species
UACGUAGGUGGCAAGUGUUAUCCGGAUUUAUUGGGCGUAAAGGGAACGCAGGCGGUCUUUUAAGUCUGAUGUGAAAGCCUUCGGCUUAACCGGAGUAGUGCAUUGGAAACUGGGAGACUUGAGUGCAGAAGAGGAGAGUGGAACUCCAUGUGUAGCGGUGAAAUGCGUAGAUAUAUGGAAGAACACCAGUGGCGAAAGCGGCUCUCUGGCCUGUAACUGACACUGAGGCUCGAAAGCGUGGGGAGCAAACAGG